CCUACGGGGGGCAGCAGUGGGGAAUAUUGGACAAUGGGGGCAACCCUGAUCCAGCCAUGCCGCGUGUGUGAAGAAGGCCCUCGGGUUGUAAAGCACUUUCAGUGAGGAAGAACGCCUGGUGGUUAAUACCCAUCAGGAACGACAUCACUCACAGAAGAAGCACCGGCUAACUCCGUGCCAGCAGCCGCGGUAAUACGGAGGGUGCGAGCGUUAAUCGGAAUUACUGGGCGUAAAGCGCGCGUAGGUGGCUUGAUAAGCCGGUUGUGAAAGCCCCGGGCUCAACCUGGGAACGGCAUCCGGAACUGUCAAGCUAGAGUGCAGGAGAGGAAGGUAGAAUUCCCGGUGUAGCGGUGAAAUGCGUAGAGAUCGGGAGGAAUACCAGUGGCGAAGGCGGCCUUCUGGACUGACACUGACACUGAGGUGCGAAAGCGUGGGUAGCAAACAGGAUUAGAUACCCCUGUAGUC
rnacentral:rRNA from 1 species